GAAAAUAUUGCCCGUACCGCAAACCGACACAGGUACUCAAGUGGAGAACACUAAGGUGAGCGAGUGAACUAUUGUUAAGGAACUCUGCAAAAUGAGUCCGUAACUUCGGAAGAAGGACUGCUGGUUUUAUACCAGCCGCAGCAAAUAGGCCCAAACAACUGUUUAUCAAAAACACAGGUUUCUGCAAAAUCGUAAGAUGAAGUAUAGGGGCUGACGCCUGCCCAGUGCUGGAAGGUUAAAAGGAGGACUUAGCUUCGGCGAAGGUCUUAAUUGAAGCCCCAGUGAACGGCGGCCGUAACUAUAACGGUCCUAAGGUAGCGAAAUUCCUUGUCGGGUAAGUUCCGACCCGCAUGAAAGGCGUAAUGAUUUGGGCGCUGUCUCAACAAUAGACUCGGUGAAAUUUAAAUUCCAGUGAAGAUGCUGGGUACCCGCGACAGGACGGAAAGACCCCGUGGAGCUUUACUGUAGCUUGAUAUUGAAUGUUUGUGCUGCAUGUGCAGGAUAGGUAGGAGACUUUGAAGUCGGAACGCUAGUUUCGAUUGAGUCACCCUUGAGAUACUACCUCUGUUGUAUGAACGUUCUAACUCUGAUCAGUUAUCCUGAUCGAAGACAGUGUCUGGCAGGCAGUUUGACUGGGGCGGUCGCCUCCUAAAAGAUAACGGAGGCGCUCAAAGGUUUGCUCAGAAUGGUUGGAAAUCAUUCGUAGCGUGUAAAGGCAUAAGCAAGCUUGACUGUGAGACUGACAAGUCGAGCAGGUACGAAAGUAGGACUUAGUGAUCCGGUGGUUCCGUAUGGAAGGGCCAUCGCUCAACGGACAAAAGCUACCCCGGGGAUAACAGGCUCAUCUCCCCCAAGAGUCCACAUCGACGGGGAGGUUUGGCACCUCGAUGUCGGCUCAUCGCAUCCUGGGGCUGUAGUCGGUCCCAAGGGUUGGGCUGUUCGCCCAUUAAAGCGGUACGCGAGCUGGGUUCAGAACGUCGUGAGACAGUUCGGUCCCUAUCCGUCGUGGGCGCAGGAAAUUUGAGAGGAUCUGUCCUUAGUACGAGAGGACCGGGAUGGACAUACCUCUGGUGUACCAGUUGUUCUGCCAAGAGCACCGCUGGGUAGCUACGUAUGGAUUAGAUAAUCGCUGAAAGCAUCUAAGUGAGAAACUAACCUCGAGAUGAGAUUUCCCAUUCGUCAGAAGUAAGACCCCUGAGAGACGAUCAGGUAGAUAGGCUAGAAGUGGAAGUGUAGUGAUGCAUGGAGCGGACUAGUACUAAUAGGUCGAGGACUUAACCAAG
rnacentral:rRNA from 1 species